ACACAGGAUCUUCCUGGACAACGGACUCUCUGCUUCUGAAAUUGUUCCUGUGUUCAAGUUCAGGUGGGGGCAAGGUCUGCUGGAGAGGGGUGCAUGGACAUUUCCAGUGAACCCCAGUGUAUUUCCUCACCCCCAAGAAAUUCCUCUGAAAGACAGCAGCUUCCAGCUUACAUUUGGGCAUCCGAGAGCAGGGACCCAGGGAUGCCCUGGACUUGAACAGGGGCCCACCUGAAGAUCCAGAGGGUGCCAAGGAGAGAGGGGGAGGAGUCGGGAGAAGAUGGUGCCUCUAAAGGUGGAAGAAGUGGCAGACGGCAGCCAAGGCAAGCCCACCCAGGAGAGGCACCUGCAUGCUUCUUACCCUCAGAACGCCCCUCGCUGUCACCAGCCUGUUGUUCUUUCUACAGAUAUGUGUUGUGCCUAACUGUGUGCAAGGUCUGUCCCUUCCACGCAGAAGCUUGUCCUAAGUAGCUGUGUGGGCACUGCCCUCCACGGGCUGCUGUCUGACUGAGGAGACGGCAGUGGCAGAUCAUGUGCUGCCUCCUCCAUGCAGUCUUCCAGUCGACCUCAGCCCAAGGCAUCUGCCCUCCUGAGCUCCUGUGUCUCCCACUGUUAGCAUUACUGCCUGCAGCUAUGGCCUCCAGGGUAAGAUCCUCAGGACAGGCCACACAUCUGA